UUAAGAAGAACAGAGUGCUCUGGUGUAAUUCCAAAUGGUUUCUUUUCCCUUCCUCCUGCAGGAUGCUGGUGGGAUUUUUAAAAGACAUUUACUGUGGGAAACUCCUGGAGAUAAAGCUCAUAAUAUUGUGGUGGCCCACUUAUGACUGGGGCUCCCUGGAGUCUUUAACUCUGAGAGUUGUCUGCACUGAGCCUCCAGCAAUUCAUCAGCUACAGUUCAAGUUUUCUUACCCCAGCAAUGAUUCCCGUGGAGUUUUCUGCUUUUGAGUCUCUGCUCAGAAGUUCCAAGGAGGACAGACAGCAUGCUGUUUGGAAGGCCACCACACUAUGACCACACUAUGACCAACUGGUCGAAAAACUCUUAUCGAAGAAGAACUUGGUUACCAUGGCUUUGUUGUUGGACCAGUGACAUAAGGAUGGAAUUUUGCUUGUUCUAGAAGGAACUCACAAAGCCUGAACACAAGUGCAGCGUGAAAGCUAGUGGAUGAUGAAUUACCUGAAGGUGGCUUUCAAUCAUUGUGGACAAAUGGACAGCCUUUCUUCUAGAGGCUUAUUUUUAAGAAGCAUUGUUGAAGCUUCCAGAGAUCCUGGUGGAAAUGGAGUCCUUGGUUUCUACAGCGUUAUCAUUUUGGCUUUUCCUCCUUUCCCUUUCCUUACUCUUGUUUUCCAGAGCCAUCUCCCAAAUGAAUCUCAUUUACCCAAGACAUUGCCUCAGGCACUCCUUUCAGGGAAUGUAUAUUAAGAUGGGGGGGGGGGGAUGAGCCACUAGUACCAUUACUAUACCCUUCAAUCAUUCUCCAGUGCUUUAGCAAUAACUCCUAGUAAUUUGAUUAUGUGGAUUGUAGGGUCUUAAAUGAAACUCCCAAGACAUUGAUGGGACUUCUAGAAGCUGGGGAAAUGAAAGUGUAAUUUCAAAGCUGUGAUUUCCUGUCUUUUAAAAAGUGGAGGGGCUUCCCUGGUGGCGCAGUGGUUGAGAGUCCGCCUGCCGAUGCAGGGGACACGGGUUCGUGCCCCGGUCCGGGAAGAUCCCACAUGCCGCGGAGCGGCUGGGCCCAUGAGCCAUGGCCGCUGAGCCUGCGCAUCCGGAGCCCGUGCUCCACGAUGGGAGAGACCACAACAGUGAGAGGUCCCCGUACCGAAAAAAAAAAAAAAAAAAAAAAGUGGAGAUCAUAACCCCUCCAUCCCCCCACCCUUUUUUGAACAUAUUUUUUUUCCUCUCCUUUAUUCUGGUGUUCUGGGAAAGUCUCAAGAAUUAUCCCUUUAAUUCUAGAGGUACACAGAAAACAAACCAAAUGUGGGUUGAAAUCUUUGAGGGAAAUGGUUCUUUUCCAGAUAUAGAUUGUAACUGCACUGCAUGGCAUGCCAACGCUUAUUUGCGUGGACAUGAGUAUUUUUAUAUUUGAAUAGUUACUGAGACCAGAACUGAGAUCCAGGGGCCUACAGACAAGAAGUGAAAACUUGAUCUCUGUUUUUGGUCAGGGAAAUAUCCAGGAAAAGAACUUGGCUAGAUUUGUUGAAGCUCACCCUCAUCCACAGGAUAAGCAUUCUAUAUUCGUUCUAAUCCUGGGAAGCAGCCACUCAGCCACCCCUGACAGAAAUUUUGGACUCAUUCUU